rnacentral:ncRNA from 1 species
AUGGAGUAAGCUGAAAAUCCUUAUAAAGAGUAGGCG